rnacentral:rRNA from 1 species
CACGUAGAAGACUAGUGUUAUUCAUCUUUAUUAGGUUUAAAGGGUACGUAGACGGAAAAUCAAGCCAUAAUAGGAACUAAUUUUCUAGAGUUUUAUGAGAGAAGGGGCGAAUUUCCGGAGGAAAGUUGAUAUUUUGUGAUACUGGAAAGACGGGUAACGGCGAAGGCAACCUUUUAUGUAAAAACUGACGUUGAGGGACGAAGCCUUGGGUAACGAGAAGG